rnacentral:rRNA from 1 species
UACAGAGGUCUCAAGCGUUGUUCGGAUUCAUUGGGCGUAAAGGGUGCGUAGGUGGCGGGGUAAGUCAGGUGUGAAAUCUCGAGGCUCAACCUCGAAACUGCACUUGAUACUGCCUUGCUAGAGUACUGGAGAGGAGAUUGGAAUUUACGGUGUAGCAGUGAAAUGCGUAGAUAUCGUAAGGAAGACCAGUGGCGAAGGCGGGUCUCUGGACAGUUCCUGACGCUGAGGCACGAAGGCCAGGGGAGCAAACGGG